GGUUCCGGCCCCGCGUGCGUAGUUGCGCCAAGCAACCAAAAGCUAUAGGCAAAUAGGCGCCAUUUUGGUCUAAAGUAGUUUUAAACUCAAGUUUUAGCUCAUUAAGAAAUUUGUUUAGUUGAUUGUCAACUUCAGUUAACUGAACACUUAUAUAUUCUUCUAGAAUCAAUACAAAUUGUAGAAAAAACUCAAUAAUAUAGAAAUGGAUGGGCCACGGGGUGGAUUCCGAGGUGGUGGUCGCGGUGGCCCACCCGGUCUUAGAGGCCGAGGCGGAUUUGAUAUGCGUGGACGUGGUCUACCUGGUAUGCGAGGUCGCGGUGGCCCACCGCGAGGAGCUCUUGGACCACGUGGAGCACCGCGAGGCUUUAGAGGACCCAUGCGCGGCGAAAGAGGUGGUCGUUUUCCACCAGGACCUCAAGGCCCAGGUCCACAUCCAGUACCUACCAUAGAAACUAGAGUUGGUCCUCCACAACGAGGAGGUUUCAAUAAUAGAGGAGGACCAGGUGGUAUGAGAGGUCGAGGUGGUCGAGGUCGUGGUGAUUUUGGACCACGAAAUGAUAGAGGGGGCAGAGGAAUGCCUAUGAGAGGUAGAGGUGGCCGAGGAGGUCCCGGCGCACCACCUUUAAAUGGUCCACCAAUUGGUGGUCCUCCUCCACACCCAGGACUUCAUGGACCACCAGCACCAAUCCAAAGUGGUCUUCCAAAUAUCCCGCCAAGAGGAGUGCCACCACUGCAUCAAUCAAAUGCAUCAUCAAACCAGUCACAGGGACCACCAUUCAAACGGGGUGGGGGCCCUCCCCAUGGAGGAGGUGGACCACCCAAAAGAGGAAGGUUUGAUGGUCCGCGCGGAGGAGGAGCGAGGCAGCCGCCUCCGGGCGCCUACUCUGCGCCGCCAGCACACAACCCGCCACAGGCCAACGGCUAUGGACCCCCAGCGCACACAGGUUACCAACAAUAUGAACAACCUCCCGCAGAGCCGUUCCCACAACCAUCAUAUAAUGCUUCAAGCUCGUACCAAAGCGGCGGCAACUAUUCGACGCCGGCGCCUGCGCCUGCCAGCUCAUAUUCCAGUAAUUACGGAUCAAACUAUGGCUAUUCCACUAGUGGACAAGGUUACGAAAAUAAUGGAUACAGCGCGGGCGCUGCAGGCGGUGCUGGUGACGCGGGCUAUGGUGCCGCGGAGCCUGCGUACGGCGGCGCCGCGCCCGCAUACGAUUCGUACUCGCAGCCCGCGUACUCCUCGUACCAGCAGCCGCAGCAGUACACCAAUACAUAUGGAUAUGGAUGACAUAACUUGAACAGCAAUCUCAUAUUUGUGUAUCAACUCCCGGUAAUGCUGGACGGAAUGAAGAUAACUUGAAAACUUUACACCACAAAGGUAACGACCCACUGGAGAAAAGGUGACCACUAAAAUAAAUUGAAGGAAAACAAAGGAGUAAUUGAUGUUAUUUGAAAAGUGUAUGAAAUAAACAAAA